AACACUACUCCCCUAUUUUUUUCUAUAUCUCUCUGUUUUCUCUCGUCUCCCUUUACCCUUUACCCUCCAACCCUAACAUUCCACACAUGAAUCGCCUUACUCCAUCAUCUUCUUCGAAGCAACAUUCCACACAAGCCCUGCGUUUUCUCUUUCUCUCUUGCACGUACCUUUCCUUUCUCUCUUUCGUGUUCUUUGGCCUCUAUUCUCAAUUCCUAGAUUGUUGUCGCCCCUUGUCCUUCUCCUCUUGACGAACCUCCAUAUGCGAACUCCUCAACUCAAAAGUCAAAAGAAGAUGAAGAAUCAUGUGAAGAUGUCGUUGAUAAAGGUUGUUUCGAAGAAGAUGCACAUGAAUUUCAAACUUCACGACCUUAGAUUCUGAACUUGAAUCAAAUUCUUCAACUCUUUCGAUGAACUUGAAGAACAAAUGCUUAAAGAGCGGAAAUUACAGCUUCUGCCCUUGAAUUUGGUUCAGCAACUGCCACUGCUCUGAUUGCAUUGUUGAAAAAGGGUUCGUGGCUUUCACUCGAGGAGUUUCGUGUCAAGGUAAAUAAUUAUUUCAAUAACAAUGUAAAUGUAUCUCCAAUCAGGACCCAUUCUCAUGUAUUGGUUUUCAAUUUCAAUAUAUAAUCUACAGAUUCUUCCUACAUAUUGGUCAUCAUUGUCGAAUAUGAUUUUUUUAUUUACCAUUUUUAUACUCAUUCUUUGGCAUAUUUUCUGAAUGACUGAUGUAUUUUGAGCUUUUGCAGUGACUCAACAACUAUCUAUGAUUGCUACUUUACCUGUUGUUCUGCUUUUCUUCUUUCAUAUCCUCCUCAUUAAAAUGGUAAGAUAGUAUGCCUUCAUGUUGAAAUUAAUCUCCUAGUUUCUUAUGUUCUUCACGCUACAGGAAAAAGCUGGGGCUGGUUCUACAACACUAUCAAUGGUUAAUAGUUUAUCUUAAUAUUUCUACAGUUAAGCAUUAUCGAUUUGUUUUAACAUAAUAUUUGAUCCGAUUUUUACCAAAUCUAAUUUCAUCUAAAUUAAAUAAUAUUAUGUUGCAGCUCAAUUAACUACUACCGAGGAGAAUGAUCUCAAGUCCCAAAUUGCGGUACAUAUUUUGGAUUUCUCAUCUUGUAGGUUCUGGUUAUUUGUUCCUAUAUAAAUAAGAACAUUUGGUUUAAUAAAUAGUGGUUUUGUUAAGAUAUUAAAUCUAGACUUGAUUUGAUUUGUUAGUGGUUGUUUGAAGUUAGAUCUCUGAGUUUCAUCUAUGACUUCUGUUACAGCCUCUGAGUAGAUUGGUUUUUGCUAAGGAAUACUUUAUGACUUGUCUUUUUGGUGUAUGUUAGAAAGGAAAUAACGUCCCUUCCAAGACAAUGGAAUUGGUAUUUUAAAGAUGUGACUCACUAGUUUGAUUUGACUAUUA